rnacentral:rRNA from 1 species
CAAUGGGGGUGGACUAGAAUGCGAGUCGAGCGUCUCUAGCUAUGUUGAGACGCGGCAUACGGCUCAGUAACACGUGGCUAACCUACCCUCAGGACAGGGACAACCCCGGGAAACUGGGGCUAAUACCUGAUAGGUGAGGAUACCUGGAAUGGUUUCUCACUCAAAGGGCUUUGGAAACAUGCUUCCUCUGUCGCCUGGGGAUGGGGCCGCGACCGAUCAGGUUGUUGGUGAGGUAACGGCUCACCAAGCCUAUAACCGGUACGGGCCGUGAGAGCGGUAGCCCGGAGAUGGGUACUGAGACAAGGACCCAGGCCCUACGGGGCGCAGCAGUCGCGAAAACUCCGCAAUGCACGAAAGUGUGACGGGGCUACCCCGAGUGCCGUCCGCUGAGGAUGGCUUUUCCUUGGUGUAACUAGCCGGGGGAAUAAGGAGAGGGCAAGACUGGUGUCAGCCGCCGCGGUAAUACCAGCUCUCCGAGUGGUAGGGAUGGUUAUUGGGCUUAAAGCGUCCGUAGCCGGCUUAGCAAGUCUCCUGUUAAAUUCAGCGACCUAAUCGUUGAGCCGCGGGAGAUACUACUAGGCUAGGAGGCGGGAGAGGUCGACGGUACUUCUGGGGUAGGGGUGAAAUCCUAUAAUCCCGGGAGGACCACCAGUGGCGAAGGCUGUCGACUAGAACGCGCUCGACGGUGAGGGACGAAAGCUGGGGGAGCGAACCGGAUUAGAUACCCGGGUAGUCCCAGCUGUAAACGAUGCGGGCUAGGUGUUGGGGUGGCUACGUGCCACUUCAGUGCCGCAGGGAAGCCAUUAAGCCCGCCGCCUGGGGAGUACGGCCGCAAGGCUGAAACUUAAAGGAAUUGGCGGGGGAGCACCACAAAGGCGUGAAGCUUGCGGUUCAAUUGGAGUCAACGCCGGG